UUAAACUGUAUUGUGUCAGGGCGGAACCACAUAUUCCAUCCUCUCCCUUUGUUCAUAUUUCCAUUGAUUUGCCUACUUCCUUUCAAGUUUCUCCAUUAUAUAUAACCAUACCCUACACUCAAACACUGCCUCAAACCCCAAACCAACAACCUCGAUCAAUUCAACACUAGCUAGAACAUACACUACAUACGAUAAUGAAUUCUUCCACGAAAAGUUUCGGUGGCCAUAAACAAAAAACAGAUGAUAUUAGUAGGGCUGAGGAGAGUGGGUGGACUUCUUAUCUGCAGGACUUUUCAUUGAAUAGUAGCAGUGAUAACUAUGGCGGCUCGGCGUAUUCUAAUUACCGUGGAGAUUACAGCCGUUUUGGCGGCCCUUCUUUGCACUCCGACGCUGCCUCUCCUGCUGCAUGGAAGGAGCGCCGCGGCGGCGCCGAUGGUCACGACGGCGGAGACGGCAACAAUGUUGCAUGCUCUUCAAUGGGCGGCUUUCAGAGACUGAAGAACUUGAAGAUAGAAAUCAAAAAAGAAGAAGUCUGACCCUGACUUGGAGGAUACUGCUAGCUCACCUCUCAAUAGUCCAAAGGUAGUUGGUGUUCUCAAGCCGGCGGAAAUCAACCAGAAGAAAAUUAAAGAAAGUAAUAUUGGGAAUUACAGCAAUUACCGGUAAAUUGAAAGUGCAUGCUGGGUUUUGAAUGUUUUCAAGACUUUGCAGAGUGAUGAUGAAGCAUUCAUCAUAUGCAACUGGAUGAAUGUGAAGGAUUUACUUUUAAUUAAACCGUAAUUACAUGUAAUUGUUUAAUUAGAUGCUCAUCGUUAUGUAAUUCAAUUUCAGCAUAUACUAUACAUGUAUUGCU